UUUUAUUUGAGAGUUUGAUCCUGGCUCAGGAUGAACGCUGGCGGCGUGCCUAACACAUGCAAGUUGAGCGAUUUACUUCGGUAAAGAGCGGCGGACGGGUGAGUAACGCGUGGGUAACCUACCCUGUACACACGGAUAACAUACCGAAAGGUAUGCUAAUACGGGAUAAUAUAUUUGAGAGGCAUCUCUUGAAUAUCAAAGGUGAGCCAGUACAGGAUGGACCCGCGUCUGAUUAGCUAGUUGGUAAGGUAACGGCUUACCAAGGCGACGAUCAGUAGCCGACCUGAGAGGGUGAUCGGCCACAUUGGAACUGAGACACGGUCCAAACUCCUACGGGAGGCAGCAGUGGGGAAUAUUGCACAAUGGGCGAAAGCCUGAUGCAGCAACGCCGCGUGAGUGAUGAAGGCCUUCGGGUCGUAAAACUCUGUCCUCAAGGAAGAUAAUGACGGUACUUGAGGAGGAAGCCCCGGCUAACUACGUGCCAGC
rnacentral:rRNA from 1 species